rnacentral:lncRNA from 1 species
UCCUUUAAUCCAAUGUUAUACAUCAUUAAUCCAUUGAUAUAUACAACAUGAAUCCAUUUAUAUACAACAUUAAUCUCCAUAUAUACAACAUUAAUAUAGUGAUAUUCAUGCAUGUACAACAACAUUCCAUACAUAUAUGUACACAACCUAUAUGAUUCUAUGAUCAAUAAUGAAUUGACACAAUUCAUCCUUCAUUUCAUCCAAAUGAGCUCUUGAGUAAGAUUUGUAUUCGUC